GCCAGGCGUGGUGGCGUGUGCCUGUGGUCCCAGCUACUUGGGAGGCUGAGGCAGGAGGAUCAUUUGAGCCUGGGAGGUCGAGGAUGCAGUGAGCUGAGAUCAUGCCACUACACUCCAGCCUGGGUUACAGAGGGAGACCCUGUCUCUC
rfam:Gorilla gorilla gorilla genomic chromosome, chr2B, whole genome shotgun sequence